CAAAUGAAUGCAUGCUCUUGAAUAUCUGACGAAUGUGACAAGCCUGUGCGGGCUGGAGCUGUGGCUGGCUGAGCUCAGCUUUUUAAUGAACCCAGGCGCUUUCUUGACCAGCCGUGUGUGUUUUGCCCUAUUAGACUGGCGUGGAUCAGGUCAGGAAUGCAAUUGUGCUUUUAGCUCUCAGUCAGGGAAACAUAGUCAUGAACAGCACCGGCUCUAUAAUUUGCAGGAUCAAGUGCAAAUAAAACUGUGGGGCUCCUUGUUGAGAACUAAUUCAGAAUUUCAAGUUGGUAAUAACAACAGAGGCUUUUUAAGUUAGGGGGCCCCGGUGUGACUGCAGGGGGAGCCCUCAGUGAAGCUGACCUUGGGCACAGAGCGCAGAGCCAGAAGCUGACAGGUUAAACUUCGUGAUGCUUCCAAGAGGAUCCAGUAAGAGGGAGCUGGGACCUUAACUCAGCUUGGUGGAGAAAUUGUCGGAGAGCAGGGAAUGCCCACGGGCCAUCACUGGAUAAGGCAAACAUAAGGACCACCGAAAUGGAGAAGUUAUAGCUGAUGACCAAGCCCACAGUUUGAUACUGUAGAAUGCUUGCCCUGUGAAGCAAAGUUGAAUUCCUUUAAAAGGGUCCAGAGUUUCCUUGUGUGCGUCUCAGAGUUGGAGGAGCUCUAGUCUCUACAGGAUCUUCACACAUCGAAUCUAAACAGAAACCAACUUUAAACUGAUCAUCACCCAUGAGCAUCCUUGCCUCGGAGCAGACAGUGAUAAGAUUUGAUGGAGAACACCUGCUUUUCUUGGUCAUCUGCUAGAGAAAAAUCUGUUUCUCUUGCCCUUGGAUUUGCGGCUCAUCAGAAGUAGCCUGUCCAAACUGUGUGUUGGAUCUUCCUUCUUUGCCUGUGGACGAAAACCUCUGUAGACUCAUUCUCAGGUGCGCAGAGUCCAGUUUGAGGCUAAGAAGCAAAACACAGCACCGACCCUUCAUUGCAUAGCGCCGUUUCAGGCCUCUUCUCUGGACUUCUAGCUUGGAACUGGGUGUCUAUGGAUUCUUCGAAGACUACCGCCGACGCUGUGCGCUGACCUGAGCGACGCCCGACGUGUGCCUGUGCAGAACGUCCAUCUACUUCCGCUUCCGGUGCUGAGCUCUGCCUCACCUUUUACUCCCGCGGGCCCUCAGCCCUUGUAGGAAACCACAUGGGGACACGGGUUCGAGCCCUGGUCCAGGAAGAUCCCACGUGCCGCAGAGCAG